rnacentral:rRNA from 1 species
UGCAGUCGAACGGUAACAGGAUGUGCUUGCACAUCGCUGACGAGUGGCGGACGGGUGAGUAAUGCUUGGGAACUUGCCUUUGCGAGGGGGAUAACAGUUGGAAACGACUGCUAAUACCGCAUAAUGUCUUCGGACCAAACGGGGCUUCGGCUCCGGCGCAAAAAGAGGCCCAAGUGAGAUUAGCUAGUUGGUAAGGUAACGGCUUACCAAGGCGACGAUCUCUAGCUGUUCUGAGAGGAAGAUCAGCCACACUGGGACUGAGACACGGCCCAGACUCCUACGGGAGGCAGCAGUGGGGAAUAUUGCACAAUGGGGGAAACCCUGAUGCAGCCAUGCCGCGAGUGUGAAGAAGGCCUUCGGGUAGUAAAGCACUUUCAGUUGUGAGGAAAAGUUAGUAGUUAAUACCUGCUAGCCGUGACGUUAACAACAGAAGAAGCACCGGCUAACUCCGUGCCAGCAGCCGCGGUAAUACGGAGGGUGCGAGCGUUAAUCGGAAUUACUGGGCGUAAAGUGCACGCAGGCGGUUUGUUAAGCUAGAUGUGAAAGCCCCGGGCUCAACCUGGGAUGGUCAUUUAGAACUGGCAGACUAGAGUCUUGGAGAGGGGAGUGGAAUUCCAGGUGUAGCGGUGAAAUGCGUAGAUAUCUGGAGGAACAUCAGUGGCGAAGGCGACUCCCUGGCCAAAGACUGACGCUCAUGUGCGAAAGUGUGGGUAGCGAACAGGAUUAGAUACCCUGGUAGUCCACGCCGUAAACGCUGUCUACUAGCUGUGUGUGCCUUUAAGGCGUGCGUA